GGUCGUAACGGUCGUAAAGAUUGAGUCACGAUCUUUCUCAUCAGCCGAAAUACAACAUUUUAGAACUGAAAAUACGCGGAGUGAUUAGAACUAGAGAAUACUUAUGAUUUAUAUGUGGUUUACAGGUAUAAACUAUUAUAAACUGGCCGUUGAGAAAGAUCGUGACUCUCUUUUUACAACCAUUACGACCAGAUGGAAAGCAG